rnacentral:rRNA from 1 species
AACGAACGCUGGCGGCGUGCCUAACACAUGCAAGUCGUGCGAGAAAGUUCCUUCGGGAGCGAGUAAAGCGGCGCACGGGUGAGUAACACGUAGGUAACCUGCCCCCCAGUCUGGAACAACUAGAGGAAACUCUAGCUAAUGCCGGAUGAGACCACGAUCCCUUCGGGGGUUGCGGCCAAAGAUGGCCUCUACUUGUAAGCUAUCGCUGAGGGAUGGGCCUGCGGGCCAUUAGCUUGUUGGUGAGGUAACGGCUCACCAAGGCUGUGAUGGCUAGCUGGUCUGAGAGGAUGACCAGCCACACUGGGACUGAGACACGGCCCAGACUCCUACGGGAGGCAGCAGUGGGGAAUAUUGCGCAAUGGGCGAAGCCUGACGCAGCGACGCCGCGUGGGUGAUGAAGGCCUUAGGGUUGUAAAGCUCUUUACCCGGGAUGAUAAUGACAGUACCGGGAGAAUAAGACCCGGCUAACUCCGUGCCAGCAGCCGCGGUAAU